UACCAACCCUUGACAUCCCGUGCUACAUCCAGAGAUGGAUGGUUCCUUUCGGGGACGCGGUGACAGGUGCUGCAUGGCUGUCGUCAGCUCGUGUCGUGAGAUGUUCGGUUAAGUCCGGCAACGAGCGCAACCCACAUCCCUAGUUGCCAGCAGUUCGGCUGGGCACUCUAUGGAAACUGCCCGUGAUAAGCGGGAGGAAGGUGUGGAUGACGUCAAGUCCUCAUGGCCCUUACGGGUUGGGCUACACACGUGCUACAAUGGUGGUGACAGUGGGUUAAUCCCCAAAAACCAUCUCAGUUCGGAUUGGGGUCUGCAACUCGACCCCAUGAAGUCGGAAUCGCUAGUAAUCGCGUAACAGCAUGACGCGGUGAAUACGUUCCCGGGCCUUGUACACACCGCCCGUCACACCAUGGGAGUUGGUUUACCCGACGACGCUGCGCUAACCUUCGGGGGGCAGGCGGCCACGGUAGGAUCAGCGACUGGGGUGAAGUCGUAACAGGUAACCAGGGCGAUUCCAGCACAUGGCGCCGU
rnacentral:rRNA from 1 species